rnacentral:rRNA from 1 species
GACGAACGCUGGCGGCGUGCUUAACACAUGCAAGUCGAACGGAAAGGCCCUGCUUUUGUGGGGUGCUCGAGUGGCGAACGGGUGAGUAACACGUGAGUAACCUGCCCUUGACUUUGGGAUAACUUCAGGAAACUGGGGCUAAUACCGGAUAGGAGCUCUUGCUGCAUGGUGGGGGGUGGAAAGUUUCGGCGGUUGGGGAUGGACUCGCGGCUUAUCAGCUUGUUGGUGGGGUAGUGGCUUACCAAGGCCUCGACGGGUAGCCGGCCUGAGAGGGUGACCGGCCACACUGGGACUGAGAUACGGCCCAGACUCCUACGGGAGGCAGCAGUGGGGAAUAUUGCACAAUGGGCGGAAGCCUGAUGCAGCAACGCCGCGUGCGGGAUGACGGCCUUCGGGUUGUAAACCUCUUUCGCCUGUGACGAAGCGAGAGUGACGGUAACUGGUAAAGAAGCACCGGCUAACUACGUG